CUUUAUUAUAUUACUUUUGUGAUUUUAAAAAUCGGACACUUUAAUUUUGUAUUAAGAAAGUAAUACAUACUCAUUGUAGAAAUUCAAAACACAAUUUACAGAAGAGUUCAAAGUGAAAAAUAAGACUUCCCCCUGGCCUUAAGCUCAGUAGAUUUUAAAAAGUAACUUGUUAUAAACUUACCAAAAAGUUGGAGGAAUAGUACAAAGAACUCCCAUGUUCACUUCAUCCAGAUUGUUCAAUUGGUAACACUUCACAUUUCUGCAGCAUGCAUGCGUGCAUGUGUGUACCACCAUUAUCAUAUGGCUUUUUCUUAACCAUUUGAGACCAAGUUGCAGACAUGUUCCAUCAGUCCUAAACACUCCAGUGUACAAUUCUCAAAAACAAAGACACUCUUGUACAUAACUACCACAUUGUCAAAAAAAGGCCAAGCCCAAGAGUGAUUGAUUUGGCUUCUAAAGUAAUGACAUGUCCUUUUAAGAUUCAGUUUAUUACCUACAUAGACAGCAAGAGGAAGAUGGGCCAAAGGUGCCAGCUCCCCAUGUCCUUGUUCCCUGCACCAAACAGGACUUCUGAAACAAGGCCUGCAUGUUUGCUGCACCAGUUAUGGGACACUCCCUUGCUGAGGAGCCCCUUUUAGACUGCAGCUAGCAGUUUUAUAUUCUGUAGCUAUACCCUGAGUGGGGCAGAGCAGAUAGCCUCAGACCUCAAUAGUACUCAGAUGAGAAACUGUCUGUCUCAGUGGCAGCCUCCCAGGAGAGAUUAGGAGGUUAGAGAUAGCCUUGAAACAGCACCUCACCACCCUCCCAUCCUCUUGUGUUCUGGGAGGAUCAUGAUACAUCCUGCCAAGACUCAGAUAAGUUGCAAUUCAAGCCUAGCUUGCAUAGAUAUUGUUUCUUGUGAUGCUCAACACUUUUAAAGACUGGACACUGAGCUAAAAGAAACCUUGGUGGUCAACUACUCUAAUCUCAUUCUAUACCUAAAGAAAAUGAAACCCAGAAAGGGAAAAGGACUUGUGCUAAAGGUUGGCAUGUAAAAAUAUUCCAAUCGUUUUAUUCCCCUCAAAUUUUCUAGCACCCUUUUCUUAUUUCAUAAAAUAGGUACCAUACGUCCCAGUUCCUUACUUAAAACUUACAACUUUUCAUUUUGCAAUAAUUAUAUACUUAUAGGAAGUUGCAAAAAUAGUACAGAGUCCCAUGUAUCCAUUACCCAGUUUCCUCCAGUGGUACGGUUUUGUAACUAUAGCACAACUUCACAUCCAAGACAUUGACAAUAAUAUUAUACUGCUAUCUAGACCACAGACUUUAUUCAGUAUCACCAGAUUUU
rnacentral:lncRNA from 10 species